UGGCCAUUAUAAAGAUAACGUCUGAAUUAGUCAGGUCCGGAAGGAAGCAGCUAUAAGGAAAUGUGUCUUGUAUAAUGGUUUUAU
rnacentral:SRP_RNA from 1 species